CGUCUUCUUCUUUUCAUUUUUUUUUCUUUUUACAAUUCUUGAAACUUUCCCAUCUUCUCACACCUCUUUUCUAAUUUUUCAUGCAUCUUCCUAGUGAUUUUCGAUGGAAAUUACUCAACGACCUUGUACCACACAUCCGCCAUGUAUGGUUAUCCUUCUCGAGAUUUAUAAUCGGAAUUGUAUGCUGCUGAAAUCGUGAAUUUGUAGCCACUUUGUUGAUUCAUAAGUAGUGGUGUUCUCAAAAGAAUUUAUCGGCGGAUAUUAUAGUGGAUGAAGCUUCGAAAUUUCCGAUUGAUUCUCGAAUAGCUAAGCUAUUCUUAUAGUCAUCGCGUUGCCGUAAGUUCUUUGUCUUCUUCUUCUCUUUUUAAUAUGUCUUUCUUGGACAGACAAUUAUUGUAUGAGUUAACCUAUUGAUUAUGUACUCAAUUUUGUUAAAAAUUCAACAACUUAAUUGGUUUGCCAACCAAAAAAUCUUACAGGAUUGUUAAUAGAAGAAAAUACAGGCAAGGUUUGGGUUGUUUAGUGAAUUUAGAUUUGACAAUUUCAUAUAUAUAUAUAUACAAUUGUUUUGCUUCGUAGGUGCCACUAUAUGAACCGAAAAAAAAAGGAAGAAGCUAAGACAUUAGCAAUCAAUCUCGACAAAGUCGGGUCGAGCUUGGAAUAGUCGGGUCGAGCUUGGUCAACUUACAAUUUUCACGUAAACUGUUCAUUAGAACAGACCGGUUUCUUUGAAAGAUGACUUAGCUGCUUCUGGACAUCAAUGAGUGAUUUUGGCUUCACGUCUCGCAGGAACGCUAAUAUGGCCUUCUUCGUGUCAGGCCCAAAAGAGAUGGAACCGGGUUUGUUGAAAAAACACGCGGAUCGUGCGUUCAAUGGAUCAGAUUUUUUUUUUUUUGAAUUUUUCGGACAAAUUUACCCUGCUCAAUUUCACGAUUCAGUCUCCUUUAUUAUGUAUUCAGUGGCAAUUUCUGUAAAUAAUAGGAUGAUUACAGUCAUUUUAAAAAACGUACUCCUCUUUUAAUUAUAAAGAAGAUUUCCUAAAUUUUAUUUA